rnacentral:rRNA from 1 species
UACAGAGGGGGCAAGCGUUGUUCGGAAUUACUGGGCGUAAAGGGCGCGUAGGCGGCCUGCUAAGUCGAACGUGAAAUCCCCGAGCUCAACUCGGGAACUGCGUCCGAUACUGGCAGGCUUGAAUCCGGGAGAGGGAUGCGGAAUUCCAGGUGUAGCGGUGAAAUGCGUAGAUAUCUGGAGGAACACCGGUGGCGAAGGCGGCAUCCUGGACCGGUAUUGACACUGAGGCGCGAAAGCCAGGGGAGCAAACGGG